CACCCAGGGGAAGAGAUGCAUGGGGCAGAAUCCAAGAAGGUUCCAAACCAGGAGCUUUCAGUUACCCUUCCUCACGGAGUCAUGGACAGCGCUGCUUUUCUGGCAAUGACAUGUGACAAUACACGAUCUAGGCAUAUACUAGGCUGUAACGAGAUUUGCUCUGAGGACACAUGCUGUCUGUGAAACAUCUUCUGCUUCACUCUGGGAAGAAUGAUUGAAUUUCUUUAGCCACAGUUUUGUUUUCUGUCUCAAGGCGUUCACUGCCAAGGUAGAAGGGAUUCAGCAUGUUCUAGGUCAGGU
rnacentral:lncRNA from 10 species